rnacentral:rRNA from 1 species
GACGAACCGUGCGAACGUUGUUCGGAUUCACUGGCUUAAGGCGCGUAGGCGGCGGUCAAGUCAGGUGAAUCUUCGCCUACGAAGGCUCUGAUACUGCCGUCUCGAGGAGUAGGGCAUGCGACUCGUGAGCGUGAAUGCGUAGAUAUCGAGACGCGUGCGAGCGCGUGCUGACUCUCUGACGCUGAGCGCGAAGCAGGAGCGACG